rnacentral:rRNA from 1 species
GGUCCCAAGGGUUGGGUUGUUCACCCAUUAAAGCGGGACGCGAGUUGGGUUCAGAACGUCGUGAGACAGUUCGGUCCCUAUCUACUGCAACCGUAAGAAAUUUGAGAGAUGCUGUCCCUCCUGCGAGAGGACCGGGAUGGACAAGCCUCUGGUAGUACCAGUUGUUCCACCAGGAGCACCGCUGGAUAGCUAUGCUUGGAAAAGGUAACCGCUGAAAGCAUCUAAGUGGGAAACUUGUCUCAAGAUUAGAUUUCUGUUCCUUUAUGGAAAUAAGACCUCCGCGAGACUAGCGGUUUGAUAGGCUUCACGUGUAAGUCCAGCAAUGGAUUGAGCGGAGAAGUACUAAUCGGUCGAAUCAGUUUGUUUU